rnacentral:rRNA from 1 species
CAGUCGCCGCGGGAAUACGAAGGGUGCAAGCGUUAAUCGGAAUUACUGGGCGUAAAGCGUGCGUAGGCGGUGAGUUAAGUCUGCUGUGAAAUCCCCGGGCUCAACCUGGGAAUGGCAAUGGAUACUGGCAAGCUAGAGUGUGUCAGAGGAUGGUGGAAUUCCCGGUGUAGCGGUGAAAUGCGUAGAGAUCGGGAGGAACAUCAGUGGCGAAGGCGGCCAUCUGGGACAACACUGACGCUGAGGCACGAAAGCGUGGGGAGCAAACAGGAUUAGAUACCCGCGUAGUCCCUGUCUCUUAUAC